UAGGGAAUAUUGGUCAAUGGGUGCGAGCCUGAACCAGCCAUGCCGCGUGCAGGAAGACGGCCUUCUGGGUUGUAAACUGCUUUUGACAGGGGAUAAAAUGACCAUGCGUGGUUAAUUGAAGGUACCUGUGGAAUAAGCCACGGCUAACUACGUGCCAGCAGCCGCGGUAAUACGUAGGUGGCAAGCGUUGUCCGGAUUUAUUGGGUUUAAAGGGUGCGUAGGCGGCCUUUUAAGUCAGUGCUGAAAUAUCCCGGCUUAACCGGGAGGGUGGCAUUGAUACUGAAAGGCUUGAGUAAAGUUGAGGUUGGCGGAAUUGACGGUGUAGCGGUGAAAUGCUUAGAUAUCGUCAAGAACACCGAUAGUGCAGACAGCUAACUAAGCUUUAACUGACGCUGAGGCACGAAAGUGUGGGGAUCAAA
rnacentral:rRNA from 1 species